rnacentral:rRNA from 1 species
AUUGAACGCUGGCGGCAGGCCUAACACAUGCAAGUCGAACGGUAACAGGAAGCAGCUUGCUGCUUUGCUGACGAGUGGCGGACGGGUGAGUAAUGUCUGGGAAACUGCCUGAUGGAGGGGGAUAACUACUGGAAACGGUAGCUAAUACCGCAUAACGUCGCAAGCCCAAAGAGGGGGACCUUCGGGCCUCUUGCCAUCGGCUGUGCCCAGAUGGGAUUAGCUAGUAGGUGGGGUAACGGCUCACCUAGGCGACGAUCCCUAGCUGGUCUGAGAGGAUGACCAGCCACACUGGAACUGAGACACGGUCCAGACUCCUACGGGAGGCAGCAGUGGGGAAUAUUGCACAAUGGGCGCAAGCCUGAUGCAGCCAUGCCGCGUGUAUGAAGAAGGCCUUCGGGUUGUAAAGUACUUUCAGCGGGGAGGAAGGGAGUAAAGUUAAUACCUUGGCUCAUUGACGUUACCCGCAGAAGAAGCACCGGCUAACUCCGUG